UACGUAGGGUGCGAGCGUUGUCCGGAAUUAUUGGGCGUAAAGAGCUCGUAGGCGGUCUGUCGCGUCGAUCGUGAAAACUUGGGGCUUAACCCUGAGCUUGCGGUCGAUACGGGCAUGACUGGAGUUCGGCAGGGGAGACUGGAAUUCCUGGUGUAGCGGUGAAAUGCGCAGAUAUCAGGAGGAACACCGGUGGCGAAGGCGGGUCUCUGGGCCGAUACUGACGCUGAGGAGCGAAAGCGUGGGUAGCAAACAGG
rnacentral:rRNA from 1 species